rnacentral:lncRNA from 1 species
AUGGGCUUGGGGAGCUGUUGGUGGCAUGUGGCAUCCCCACAUGGCAGUGGCAGCUGGAGGAGGCUGGCACAGGGCAGUGCUCAGCGGAGGAGACGCCUCAUUGCAUCACUGGCCCUCGGACAGCGAGGAGGUGCCAGCGGUGCCGGGAGCCUUUGUGCCCACACCAUGGGGCAGCUGCUGUGGAGCUGGGUGCUGUGGGGACUCUGGGUGCUGCCAGGUGAGUGCCGGGGUCGUCUGCGUCACCGGGGCAGCCGGGCACACCAUGGUGCCAAGGAGGCACGGGGAUUUGUCCUGCAACAGCCUGCAUGGUGGGGAGGAGAGAUUGGCACCCAAUGGAUUGUAGUGGGAAGCAAAGGGCUUGUUUCUCAGCCUGCCCUUGCUCACACCCAAGCCCCACCAGGGAAUGCGGGAGCAGCAGGCAUGGGGCCCCUUGUCCCAGCACAGGACCCAGCAGAGCCGGUUGGCGGCUCCUACGUGCCUGACAGCAUCAGUGCCGAACAACAUCAGGAUAUUUCACCCACUGUGGCCGAGCUGGGCAUGUGCCAGCUGUCCCCUGACCGAACAGAGCAGCCUUCUGUCCUCAGGGAUGGUUCAGGCAAUGCAGUGCCGCAAGUGGUGCUGGCAGCACUGGACCCCAUGAGUCCCAGCAAGGAGCAGGAGAUGCCUUCUAGUGCAGCAGUCUCUGGGGGGAUGGCAGAAUCGGACAGUCCCCAGGCAGGGCUUGCUUAUCCAAAACAAACCGGCUGGCUGACCAGUGUCCCCAUCGCUCCUGGCCCCACUCAGAUCACAUCCCCAGUGCCUACAGGGCACACAAUGGCUGUUACCCAUGGGAACAGGGAUACAGAGACAGCCACAGCCAGGCUGUCCCCAGCUCCACGUGUACCCUCAGAGAAGGGGACAGGCACUUCAGUGCCAUUGGGCAGAAGCACUGCCCCCACAAUGUCUGUGGGGUCAUCCAAAGCUCUGCAGAGUGCUGCUGGGCAGCCCGCAACAGGAAGAGCUGUGCCUUUGCAAGAGAUGACAGUGACUGAGGAACAUAUGCGUGCCACCAGCAUGCAAACAGGUGACGUCCCAAUGCCCAGUGGAGGUUUGUCUCCUGCAGUGGUCCGUGUCCCUGCAGUUCCUCCGGUGCUGGGAACAGAAGCACCUUCCUCUUCCACCAGCACAGCAACUGAUGAUGAUGCAUUGGUGCAGCCUCACCGUGUUGGCACCGCAGAAGGGACACCGGGAACAGCACAGACCGUGGUGCUGUCUGAUGUCCAACUCAGCACAGGGACAUCACCCCACUCCCUCACCUGGAGCCCAGCUGAGCUGCACACAGCCACUGUGCGCCUGUCCCAGGAGGUGACACCAGGGCUGGACGAGGCCACCUCUCCUCUUGUCACAGCAGCCAGCAUCACUGCAGGGAACACCAAGCCUGCAUCAACCACGUCUGACCGUGUCACAUCUCCCA